rnacentral:rRNA from 1 species
UUCAGUUGCCAACGGUAAGCCGGGCACUCUGGAUGGACUGCCGGCGACAAGCCGGAGGAAGGUGGGAUGACGUCAAGUCAUCAUGGCCCUUAUGUCCAGGGCGACACACGUGCUACAAUGGCCGGCACAGCGGGAAGCGAGGGGGCGACCUUGAGCGGAUCCCUCAAAGCCGGUCUCAGUUCGGAUUGCAGUCUGCAACUCGACUGCAUGAAGUUGGAAUCGCUAGUAAUCGUGGAUCAGCCAAGCCGCGGUGAAUACGUUCCCGGGCCUU